AAAGGUAUAUCCCAGUAGUUAGAGUGCUUACUUAGCAUGCAUGAAGUCCUGGGUUCAAUCCCCAGUACAUUAA
rnacentral:tRNA from 1 species